GACUCUCGGCAACGGAUAUCUCGGCUCUCGCAUCGAUGAAGAACGUAGCGAAAUGCGAUACCUGGUGUGAAUUGCAGAAUCCCGCGAACCAUCGAGUCUUUGAACGCAAGUUGCGCCCGAGGCCACUCGGCCGAGGGCACGCCUGCCUGGGCNNNN
rnacentral:rRNA from 1 species